UGCUCCCGUCCAUCCCAUGGUGGUGUGGGAAAUAUUUUAUCGGUAUGGGAUGGGGUCGCGCCCUAUCACGUAUUGGGGGGGGUAACAGCCCCCCGACCCUACUACAGGGACCCCCCCUGAGAGGGCGACCCCCCACAUUGUGACUGAGAUACACCCCACACUCCUACGGGAGGCAGCAGUGGGGAAUAUUGCACAAUGGGCGCACGCCUGAUACAGAGACCCCCCGUGCGGGAUGACGGCCUUCGGGUUGUAAACCUCUUUUGUUGGAGAGCAAGCCUUCGGGUGAGUGUACCCUUCGAAUAAACACCGGCUAUCUACGUGCCAUCACCCGCUGUAAUACGUAGGGUGCAAGCGUUAUCCGGAAUUAUCGUGCGUAUAUAUCUCGUAUGCGGUUCUUCGCGUCCGGUGUGAAACUCCAUCUGCUUAACUGUAUAUCUGCACCGGGUACGGGCGGGCUGGAGUGCGGUAGGGGAGACUGGAAUUCCCGGUGUAACGGUGGAAUGUGUAGAUAUCGGGAAGAACACCAAUGGCGAAGGCAGGUCUCUGGGCCGUUACUGACGCUGAGGAGCGAAAGCGUGGGGAGCGAACAGGAUUAGAUACCCUGGUAGUCCACGCCGUAAACGGUGGAUGCUGGAUGUGGGGCCCUUUCCACGGGUCCUGUGUCGGAGCUAACGCGUUAAGCAUCCCGCCUGGGGAGUACGGCCGCAAGGCUAAAACUCAAAGAAAUUGACGGGGGCCCGCACAAGCGGCGGAGCAUGCGGAUUAAUUCGAUGCAACGCGAAGAACCUUACCUGGGCUUGACAUGUGCCGGAUCGCCCCGGAAACGGGGUUUCCCUUCGGGGCCGGUUCACAGGUGGUGCAUGGUCGUCGUCAGCUCGUGUCGUGAGAUGUUGGGUUAAGUCCCGCAACGAGCGCAACCCUCGCCGCAUGUUGCCAGCGGGUUAUGCCGGGAACUCAUGUGGGACCGCCGGGGUCAACUCGGAGGAAGGUGGGGAUGACGUCAGAUCAUCAUGCCCCUUACGUCCAGGGCUUCACGCAUGCUACAAUGGCCGGUACAACGGGAUGCGACACGGUGACGUGGGGCGGAUCCCUGAAAACCGGUCUCAGUUCGGAUCGCAGUCUGCAACUCGACUGCGUGAAGGCGGAGUCGCUAGUAAUCGCGGAUCAGCAACGC
rnacentral:rRNA from 1 species